rnacentral:lncRNA from 1 species
UCUAGUCACGAUUCUAAUAGCACUAUACCGCACAAUCAUAUCUUUCUAAGCAGCUUCUGACAAUACUCUUUCUACGUCUGUCAUCUCAGAUUAUUCUUGCUUCAACUUGCAACACCAUCGGAUUAAUUCUGAACAUUCUCGAUAUACACGUCUUGAUCUAUUCUACACGAUAGUAGGAUAAUAUCUCAGUCAUCGGAUUAAAAGAACUAGCUAAUUCCAAAUAGUAUAGGAACCGCGAACAUCUACCCUUCGCAUAUCCGUAUAUAGUAAACAUGAAUAUAUACAGAUAUCCACAUAACAAUAUAUACACAUUGGAUCAGUCGGCACAUAACCACAUAGUCAAUAAACAAUCAAUACAUAUUCCAGUGCACAUAUAAUAUAAUGCUAUUAACUAUCAAAUAUUUAUUAAUCAAUAAACACCGCUAAUUUUUAACAAAAUUUCGGCAGCAUCUCCUCUAUUUAUCGGACUACCCACCUGUUUACAAUACCAACAACCAACCAAUACUAUUGCUAACACGUGAAUUAUUAAUAUAAAAGGAUGUCUUGACUUAGUAACACAUAAGAAAAUCUUUUAGCACAAUUGCUAAUUCACUAUACACAAAAGACGUUUAAUAUAAAUAUGCAAGGUCAACUGAGCCAAUAAAUUUAAUAAUCAAUCAUAUGCAAUCUACCUCAUACUAUGCACUAACAAAGAAAGAAAAUUUGAGCAAAUAUUUCAAACAGCCUUCACUCUAUGAUUUUUAAUAAAUUGAAAAUUUAUCACUUUAAUAUGAAAUUUUUAUGAGACAUUCCUAAACAUUAUUCCAAUCUACUACAAAACUUUCAGAAGCAAAUUCAAUGUGUUACGGAUUAAAACAGGGCCUGUAAGUCAGGACCUGAAUCUGUCCUGCAGAACCAGCCCCACGCUAAGAAUUUUAAUAUAUAGAAAAAUUGGUCCAUUUGUAUAAAAUUUUGAUGACACAUUCCAGGCCCGAACAUCUAACUCCAGUAAAAUUUUCAGAAGCAAAUUACAAUUACAAGGUAGCAUAACAGGGCCUGGAACAGGACACAUAAAUCUGCCCAGAAUUUUCUGCGCAUACCAUACUAAAACGGUCAUAUCUCCUAACUCGCUAAUCGAAUCGAUUCGAUUCUUUCGCGCACAUAAACUAGACUCUGAGGAGCACAUGAAUCUAAUAAAAUCACAGCUUAGGCAUGAUGUUAAGCUAUUCAAAACAGAGAUCCAAACAGGGGCUGUGCUGCUGCGAAAACUUGACUUCAAGUGACUCGAUAAUUUGUAAACAAUUUCAUAUCAACCACAACCCACAUGUAUACACUGAUUUGAACUCAAAUGAAAUUAGCUACUUAAUAAUCCAAAAAUCAAUUCAAUCCAUAUAAACAAAACACCACAUAUGUAUAUACAACUGAUUAAUAAACCAAAAUCAAGCAUAUACCCCACUGUAGUUCGAAUCAACAGAUUCUAGGAUGGAGUUGGUCGUUGGAGACGGCAAAACGGCGGCGGUGUACCGUGGCAGCAGAGACGGAGCAACAGGGAGAGCAGUGGCGGCGAGAAUGAACAGUGGGAACGGAAAACGACGUUGGAAAUAGAGUGGAGGUGAAAGGAUACAUGCUACGAGGGGUUAAUUUGUCAAAGGAAGAAAGCGAUGUGAGAUUGAAAACCAUAAACGAGGGUUGGGGUUUUGAAAUUAGGGACUAUAAAAGGAAGAGCAGCAUUCGGGGGAAAAGGUACGUGGCGAGAUGAAAGAGGAAGUGUGCCGUGCGUGGCACAUCACCAAGUUUCCAUCUGUUCCCCUAAACUGAUUAAUCAAUUGUCUUACACCCGCUCUUAAUUGAUUUACAGAGAUAACUCGUAGUAAAAUUUCACCCAAAAAUUACCAAAAUAUUAUUAUAAUUCCCCGAAUAUUAUAAAACUAAUAAAAUAAAAGUUUCGGAAUUUACAGAGCAGUUUUGAAAUUUAUACGAAAUUUUUAAGUUAACUGCGUUCAGAAAAUAUUUCAAAAUAGCGCUUUCAUGAGGAUGAUAUAUUUAAAAUUUUAAAAACUCCUAAAGAUAUUUUUAUCAUUUUCAAGUAAUUAAAAGAAUUUUUCAAAUUACUUUUGUAUUUUUAGAAAUUCAUUUUGCUAUAAUCCAUUUUUAAGAGAAUCAUUGUUUAUAAAAAACACAGCAGUUAGUAACACAUAUACGCACAAGCAUGAAUCACAUUCAGAUAAUAAAGUUAAAUCAUUGAACAAGUAGUUCACAUAUUUAACAUGGUAUUCAAUUCAAAACAGACAACAAAAAUUUUGAUAACUUAAGGUACCGGAAUAAUAAUUUAAACAAAUACUUUUAAAAUUUAUCAAACUAAAAUAAAAUAUUAAAUUUUAUUCCGCAUUUUCUGAAGGAUGACAAAUAAACUAACAAAAUAAAUUUUGAAAAAUCCGGGUCGUCACAAUCUACCCCCCUUAAAAGGAUUCCGUCCUCGGAAUCAGCGAAAAGCAAACUAGAGCGUACGAUCACUGUAAUCCGUAAUACUCUUUCUUUCUUAUAUAAAAUUUUUGUUGAUCGACCCGCAUUGUCAUCCGUUU